UACAGAGGUCUCAAGCGUUGUUCGGAUUCAUUGGGCGUAAAGGGUGCGUAGGCGGCGCGGUAAGUCGGGUGUGAAAUCUGGAGCUUAACUCCGAAACUGCAUUCGAUACUGCCGUGCUUGAGGACUGGAGAGGAGACUGGAAUUUACGGUGUAGCGGUGAAAUGCGUAGAUAUCGUAAGGAAGACCAGUGGCGAAGGCGGGUCUCUGGACAGUUCCUGACGCUGAGGCACGAAGGUCAGGGGGAGCAAAACGGG
rnacentral:rRNA from 1 species